UUAUUUGAGAAUUCUUAGUUUAAUAGAACUUUUGUUCUUGCUAGCGGUAGUUUACUAACCUUACUCUUUGUAUUGUUUUUCUUUGAGUUAUUGAUUUUACAUAGGCACCUUGAGAAUGGCCGAAAGAAAUGGGACCAAUUUAGCUUAGGCGAAUCAAGAAGUCGAGGGUGACUUCAUGUUAAUUGCGCUGGUAACUCAGCUGAACACCUUGGC
rnacentral:lncRNA from 1 species